UACAGAGGGGGCAAGCGUUGUUCGGAAUUACUGGGCGUAAAGGGCGCGUAGGCGGCCUUCUAAGUCAGACGUGAAAUCCCUCGGCUCAACCGGGGAACUGCGUCUGAUACUGAAAGGCUUGAAUCCGGGAGAGGAAUGCGGAAUUCCAGGUGUAGCGGUGAAAUGCGUAGAUAUCUGGAGGAACACCGGUGGCGAAGGCGGCGUCCUGGACCAACACUGACACUGAGGAGCGAAAGCCAGGGGAGCAAACGGG
rnacentral:rRNA from 1 species